AUGGCAGGACUUCAGCUAAAAUCACAUGGGGUGUCCAUGGAUGCAUUGUGGGGAACAGAGGGUAAGGGAAGCAAUGUUAAAGGGGAUGGGGACCUGGUGACCAGUUUCCAGUGUCUGAAAUUGUCUUUUUGCACAGGGGUGAACUGCCAACAGAGGGUGGAACAAAACCCACAGUUUGCAAGUGUCCAGGAGGGAGAGAAUAUUGCUAUUGACUGCACUUAUUCAGACUCAAGUUCUCAAAGCCUACGGUGGUUCAGGCAGGAUCCUGGGAAAGGCCUCACCUUACUAUUUUACCUGGCCUCAGGGACAAAGGAGGCAGGAAGGUUCAAAUCCAUGAUCAGCAUAAAAGAUCGUCACAGCUCUCUGAACAUCACCGACUCUCAGCCUGGAGACUCAGCCACCUACCUGUGUGCUGUGGACACACAGUGA